GCUCUGCUCUCUGAAGUCUCUGAGGGGAUUCGUGGGGGUUUCUCAGUCUUUUUCACUCCUGCAGGAUGAGUGGUCACAGCAGGCGCCUCACAUAUCUCCUCCUCACUGCCUUCCUGAGGCAGCCACUGGGCACCCUGGGGCAGAUCACCGUCACCCAGCAAGAAGGACCAGUCACACUGAAACAGGGAGACACCUUUCGAACAAACUGCACCUACCGGACCUCCAACUUUGGUGGCUUGCUCUGGUACCAGCAGAGGAAAGGCCAGGCUCCCCAGCUGGUCUCCUAUCAGGCAGGAGCUGGCUCCAAGCGGAAUGGCCGUUUCACCACAUCCCUGAACCCCACAGAGAAAUCCAGCCUCCUGCAGCUGGAGGAAGUCGAAGGCUCUGACAGCGCCGUGUACCUCUGUGCUGUGCAGGACACGCUGGUGCAGGAGCUGCCUGGGCUGGGCAAAAACCUGGGGCAGGGAGGGGCUGGGGCUGGCAAGGCUGAGCCUGGGGGAAGGCUUUAUUCUGUGCUGCUUCUGCCCAAAGGCUUUGCAGAGGUGGCUUUUGGUUUCCACCAGGCAGAAACCAGAGCAAUGACCAACUUUUCCCUGCUGUUCUCUGCUGGCCAUGGCCACAGGACUGUGGGAUUGUGAGGAGAGACACCUGGAGCAGAAGAUUGGGGUCAUUCCAAUGACUGCUUCUUUUCCACUCCUGAGAAGGUUGGCAACUCAGCGG